ACUGGGAAUAACAGUUGUCAGUUUUUGGAACUCUCCAUGAAAACACAUUCUUGCAUGCCCUUUCCUUUUUGGUGAUAAGAAUACAAUUGAACCUACACGGUGCUCCCAUUUUGACAAUUCACAGUCUUGGAGCGAUAAGAUCAAGCUCGAGCUUAAUGAAACCAAAAAUUGUGAUAGGAUUCACAACUUCAUGAGGUGCGGAUUGUGCACUAGCAAAAACAAUACUGGAGCAUGUUUUCUGCUGCCUCUUUCCAGAACUGUAUCAGGAGCAUUUGAAAUUGAUAAAUCCUCGUAUGCAUCUCUGUGGGCUUUUUGUUUGUCUUAACAUUAUUAAUCGGUCUUGUCAGUGAUUAGAAUUUCUGCCCAUUGAUUUCUUUAAUUUGUAUAUGGCUAACACUGCCUCCUUUAUUUACUUUUUAUAUUGAUUUUGUGUUUUAAUCUGUUUCUUGGACUGGAGGAUGUCUUAUUCUCCAAUAAUCUUGUGUGCAUUACUUAUUCCUAAUAAUAUCUUCUUUUUCAUAAAAAAAAAUAAAAAACCCCCAUCUCUUCUCUAUUAAGAAUUCUUUUCCUUUUUGUAAUGGUUUGGUCUUCUGGAUCCUUAUAAGAAAGGUUUUAUGGAAAAUCUGGCAAAUGGUAGUGCCUGAAGUAAUGAACUUCUUCUGUUAUCUGAUGCUUUUCAAUGUUUCAUUUUCUUACAGGGGUUCUUUUCUUUCUCUGGGAUUUAGUUCUGUCGAAGCUGAAACAAAGAGGAUAUCAAAUAUGAAACUGUAAGUACGGGUCUAAAAGUCUUACUACCAUGGAUGGUCAAGAAGGGAAUGAACCUUACAAAGGAUCAACGUGGAGAGGUCCACCAGGAGGCUAAGAUCGAUAGCAGUUCAGCAGCUGUAAAAUUCUCAGAUGAAAAGAAGUCUGCUCAAGAGAAUGAUGACCAGCAUAAAGGAGUAGUAUGCUAAAUCUUAUUAUGCUGCUCUGCUUCAAAAACAAAGACAAGCAGAAGAAUCUGCUAAGAAACAAAAGAGUUGUCUCAGACAUCCAUCUCCAAUGGCCUUUCGAAUUAUCUUCCAGUUGUCAAGUGGGAAGAUGCUCCAAUGGAAGACAAUCGAAGUUGCUGGAGGAUAAGGGUUUUGCAUAAUUGCUUCCGAAGUUGGUGCAGUUGCGGCUGAAGAUGGCAAAACACAGGAACUAAUAGUAAUAGCAACGCAAUUGCCUGAAAUGGCUUCUUCCUCAAACUGGAGAAGUUUUUACAGAAAAUUUAUUUAAGCACUGUAUUUCAAUUAUAUCAGCAACUACAGGUCACUAGUAAGAGCUUCAGCCAUACACGUAUAUAAAAGUGGAAGUUGACAAUCUGAUGCGUUCUACUUGAAGAGUAAUUUUGUAAGCCAAGAUCGAAUGCUGCAGGCGAAAAGGACCAAACAUACAUGUCAGGGAUUUCUCGUAAUUGUGCGGUGCAGAAGACAACAACACUUCAAGCAUUCAAUUUCUUCGCUGUCAUUCUCUAUAUUGUACGAUUUUUAAUUAGGAACAUCAUUGUAUAUUUAUAUAUUUUGUGGAUAUGGUGGGUGCCGAUGGAUACUCAUAGAUGGAAGCUGUACUCUAGAUUUUGGAUAGGAAACACAGCCGGUAUGGUGCAAGAAAAUGCCACCUUCAAGGAAAUAAUUUUAUCCUCUGGAAGUGGGUAUUGGAUUAGAUCAGAUGGCAACGAAUUCGCAACAUUUAUUUUAGUGGAUACACACACAUUAUUGAUUCUAUAGUAUUCUCGC